rnacentral:pre_miRNA from 1 species
UUAUAAUGAUGAUGUUCAUCAUCAUGAUCAUGAUGAUCAUCAUCAUCAACAUGAUCAUGAUGAUGAUCAUAAUAA